rnacentral:rRNA from 1 species
GACGAACCGUGCGAACGUUAUUCGGAAUCACUGGGCUUAAAGCGCGUGUAGGCGGGCCGCCACGUCGGCUGCUGAAAUCCCCCGGCUCAACCGGGGAAGUGGCACCGAUACGAGCGGCCUCGAGGGGGGUAGGGGGGUCUGGAACUUCCGGUGGAGCGGUGAAAUGCGUUGAGAUGUGGAGGAAUACCGAUGGCGAAGGCAGCCCCCUGGGCCAAUACUGACGCUCAUGCACGAAAGCGUGGGGAGCAAACAGG